rnacentral:misc_RNA from 1 species
GAUCGAAAGAUCUCCGUCAAGGAAAACUGGAGAAGACCAAAGGGUAUUGAUUCCAGAGUGAGAAGAAAGUUUAAAGGAUGUACAUUAAUGCCAAACAUUGGUUAUGGCACUGACAAGAAGACCCGCCACUACCUUCCCAAUGGGUUCAAGAAGUUUGUUGUUCAUAAUGUCAAUGAGCUCGAACUCUUGAUGAUGCACAAUAGAACUUACUGUGCGGAGAUUGCCCACGAUGUUUCAACAAAGAAGAGGAAAGAAAUUGUCGAGAGGGCAGCUCAACUUGAUGUUGUAGUUACCAACAAGCUUGCCAGGUUGCGCAGCCAAGAGGAUGAAUGAACAAUUUAGAUCGUUAAAUGCAGUUUUCAUCAUGUUUUGUAGUGAGAUUUGGUUAAUAUAUACCAUUUU